rnacentral:rRNA from 1 species
UGGCGGACGGGUGAGUAACGCGUGGGUAACCUGCCUCAUACAGGGGGAUAACAGUUAGAAAUGACUGCUAAUACCGCAUAAGCGCACAGGGACACAUGUUCCGGUGUGAAAAACUCCGGUGGUAUGAGAUGGACCCGCGUCUGAUUAGCUGGUUGGCGGGGUAACGGCCCACCAAGGCGACGAUCAGUAGCCGACCUGAGAGGGUGACCGGCCACAUUGGGACUGAGACACGGCCCAAACUCCUACGGGAGGCAGCAG